rnacentral:lncRNA from 1 species
CCCAAGCUCUGUAUCUCACUAUGUACGUGUGGCACAAAAACGACCAUGUCAUCCAGUUUUCACAUGGUUGUGUCAUUAGACCCUGUCUACCACACGGCAGUGUGGCUAGUCAGUGUAACAUUUGGGAACCAUGUGAACCAAAAAGCAACAAUUUUAAAAUAAACACAUGGACGUGCCUCCGGCCUGUGAAGGAAAAAAAAUACACCAUUUAAUUACCCAAUUCAUGCCAAGACAAAAAAAAGGCUUAAAUGGUGCAUAUUUGUGCAUUUAAACUUGCAUAAAACCAACUAAUACUUAUACCAUCAUGCAUUUGGCCAACUACGAGA